GAGACACCCUUACGGGGCAGGACUUGCUUCAGUGGGGCUUUGGUGCUCACUGAGUCUGCCCCUUGAGUGUGUUGCU
rnacentral:pre_miRNA from 1 species